UCCUUGAUUCUUUGGAUUGUUUUCUGUGUUUCUAUUUUGUUGAUUUCAACCCUCAAUUUGAUUUUUCCAGUCUUCUCCUCCUUGGACUGAAUGGCUGCGGGACCAGGUGGGACAGAAAUCACUUUCGACAGAAGGUUCCAUUGGAUGUUGAGAAGAUCCGAGAACUCACAAAUGGAGCAAUGUGUAUUUUAGCCAAACUGAGCUUCGGG